rnacentral:rRNA from 1 species
AGUCGAACGGUAACAGGAAGCAGCUUGCUGCUUUGCUGACGAGUGGCGGACGGGUGAGUAAUGUCUGGGAAACUGCCUGAUGGAGGGGGAUAACUACUGGAAACGGUAGCUAAUACCGCAUAACGUCGCAAGACCAAAGAGGGGGACCUUCGGGCCUCUUGCCAUCGGAUGUGCCCAGAUGGGAUUAGCUAGUAUGUGGGGUAACGGCUCACCUAGGCGACGAUCCCUAGCUGGUCUGAGAGGAUGACCAGCCACACUGGAACUGAGACACGGUCCAGACUCCUACGGGAGGCAGCAGUGGGGAAUAUUGCACAAUGGGCGCAAGCCUGAUGCAGCCAUGCCGCGUGUAUGAAGAAGGCCUUCGGGUUGUAAAGUACUUUCAGCGGGGAGGAAGGCGACAGGGUUAAUAACCCUGUCGAUUGACGUUACCCGCAGAAGAAGCACCGGCUAACUCCGUGCCAGCAGCCGCGGUAAUACGGAGGGUGCAAGCGUUAAUCGGAAUUACUGGGCGUAAAGCGCACGCAGGCGGUCUGUCAAGUCGGAUGUGAAAUCCCCGGGCUCAACCUGGGAACUGCAUUCGAAACUGGCAGGCUAGAGUCUUGUAGAGGGGGGUGGAAUUCCAGGUGUAGCGGUGAAAUGCGUAGAGAUCUGGAGGAAUACCGGUGGCGAAGGCGGCCCCCUGGACAAAGACUGACGCUCAGGUGCGAAAGCGUGGGGAG